CCCACAUCAACGCCCCCAAGCCUAGAAUGCUGGGCCCCGAGGGCAGAAAGGGCACCCCCCGGGGACAAACGCUCUCUGGGCACACAGGGAAACUGAGGCCCGGUCACUGGCCAAGGUCACAUAGCAGCAGGACCAGGAUAAGAGGGGCAGCCUGGCACCUGGGCUGGGUAAGGGACCUCUGCCACCAGGCACCGACCUGCGUCUCAGGCACAGUGACCUUGCCCACUGUCCCGUCUUGUCUUCCCACUGGGAUCCAGCCUGUGCCCUGCGGGGCACACCUGCUUUCCUCACCUGCUGUCCCCCUUGCUCCUGGGGACGACUAGGGUGGCUACAGGAUCUCUCCCUGAAGUCUGCAGUUGAGGCUGGACCCCAGGGCCCUCUCUCAGAUUCGGUUUCCUCUGUGGAAUGAGAACUGGAACUACCAGCCAGGCCUGACAGGGACGUCCCGCAGGUGCAGUCCUGGUGGAGAGGCCCGCGCACGAGGGGCUCCCCGGCUGUUGCGAUUGUUUUGUCAUUUUGUCAUUGUGACCGUGUGCCCACCCCUUCCAUUCCACAGAUUCCGGGCGUCUCCAGAACCUUGCCCAGACCAUCUCAGAAUGCCUCCUGGCCCCGACUCAGCACAGUCACACUGGAACACCCAGGUGGGGCCUUGUGCUGGCGAAGACGGAAAGGCAAAUAUUGGGAGAGGAAAAAAGAACCCCUGGCCCUGUUGACAACACUUCCUACUUGUGCCUGAAGUGUGGCUGAUAUUUUCUGUCCUUACAGAUGCUUAUAAAAACUUCUGUUAAAGUCAACUAAUACUAUGUGUCCAGUUUGGCAAUUCAUUCCACCUCCUUUUUGUGGCUGUAUAGUAUUCUGUGAAACACAUGUACCUAC
rnacentral:lncRNA from 1 species